GUGGGGAAUAUUGGACAAUGGGCGAAAGCCUGAUCCAGCCAUGCCGCGUGUGUGAAGAAGGUCUUCGGAUUGUAAAGCACUUUAAGUUGGGAGGAAGGGCAGUAAGUUAAUACCUUGCUGUUUUGACGUUACCGACAGAAUAAGCACCGGCUAACUUCGUGCCAGCAGCCGCGGUAAUACGAAGGGUGCAAGCGUUAAUCGGAAUUACUGGGCGUAAAGCGCGCGUAGGUGGUUUUGUAAGUUGGAGGUGAAAUCCCCGGGCUCAACCUGGGAACUGCCUCCAAAACUGCAUGACUAGAGUACGGUAGAGGGUAGUGGAAUUUCCUGUGUAGCGGUGAAAUGCGUAGAUAUAGGAAAGAACACCAGUGGCGAAGGCGACUACCUGGACUGAUACUGACACUGACGUGCGAAAGCGUGGGGAGCAAACAGGAUUAGAAACCCUUGUAGUCC
rnacentral:rRNA from 1 species